CUGGCCCUGAAUUAAGGCUGGCAGCUUCCUGAUGUUGUUGAUUUCAAGCAGGAGCCUAAAGAGAUGUCUUUCUAUGAUCUGUUGGCCAUUUCAGAACUUAGGCAGUGAAAUAAAUGGUCAAUUCAUUAGAAAGAAACAGCU
ensembl:snoRNA small nucleolar RNA SNORA2/SNORA34 family